GUGCGGGACGGGUGAGUCAACACGUGGGCAACCUACCUUCAUCAGUUUGGGCAUCAACUCCGGGCAAACCGGGGCUAAUACCGAAUAAUCUCAUACUUCAUGGUGAAAUACUGAAAGACGGUCGGCUGUCGCUAUAGAUGGGCCCGCGGCGCAUAGCUAGUUUGGUCGAAGGGUAACGGCUUCAACCAAGGGCGACCGAAUGCCGUAAGCCCGGACCCUNGAGAAGGGGUUGAAUCCGGGCCAACCACUUGGGGGAACUGGAAGAACCACCGGGCCCAAGAAACUCCCUAACGGGGGAAGGGCAGCAGGUUCAGGGGAAAUCUUUCCACCAAAUGGGGGCCGAAAGGCCCUUGAUUGGAAGCAACCGCCGGCGUAGAGUGAAGAACGGUCUCUCGGAUCGUAAAACUCUUGUUUGUACAGGGAAGACACAAGGUACAGUAGUAAACUUGGGCUGUACCUUUGGACGGGUAACCUUUAUUUAGACAAGCCCACGGGUUAAACUACCG
rnacentral:rRNA from 1 species